rnacentral:rRNA from 1 species
UCGAGGAUCUUCGGCAAUGGGCGAAAGCCUGACCGAGCGACGCCGCGUGUGCGAUGAAGGCCUUCGGGUUGUAAAGCACUGUCGUGGGGGAGAAAGCCCGCAAGGGUUGAUCGACCCCAGGAGGAAGCACGGGCUAAGUUCGUGCCAGCAGCCGCGGUAAGACGAACCGUGCGAACGUUAUUCGGAAUCACUGGGCUUAAAGGGCGCGUAGGCGGGCGCGAAAGUCAGAGGUGAAAGCCCCCAGCUCAACUGGGGAAGUGCCUUUGAUACUUCGGGCCUCGAGGGAGAUAGGGGCGUGCGGAACUUCCGGUGGAGCGGUGAAAUGCGUAGAUAUCGGAAGGAACACCGGUGGCGAAAGCGGCGCGCUGGAUCUCUUCUGACGCUGAGGCGCGAAAGCCAGGGGAGCGAACGG